UGCGGGCUGGCGCGCCGGUUGUUUUGUUGGGAGUGCGGCUGGUCUUGCUCCUGCGCUUGCUUGGAUUGGGGACGCGGGCGCGAGGCUUGGAGGGCGUGACACGGGUGGGUCGCUCCGUGUCUGCGCCGCUUGACCUGUCCCCCCCCCCCCGCGUGAGUCCGCCGCCUGCGCCCCGCUUUCCGUGCCCGCGGGGCUGCUCCUGGCCAGCGAGGAUUUAUCCAUCGGCUCCGCCGGCGGUCGCUGCCGCGCGGCUCCCUCGACUCCGUGCCUGCGUUUCGCGGCGUCUCGUCCGGUCCCCCCCGGGCAGGCGGGCGGGCCAUGGAGGAGAAGUACCUGCCGGAGCUGAUGGCGGAGAAGGAUUCCCUGGAUCCGUCCUUUACCCACGCGCUGCGCCUGGUCAACCAAGAAAUCGAUAAAUUCCAAAAAGGGGAAGGCAAAGAAGAAGAAAAGUAUAUUGAUGUAGUGAUUAACAAAAAUAUGAAACUGGGACAGAAAGUAUUAAUUCCAGUAAAACAGUUUCCCAAGUUCAACUUUGUGGGGAAACUUUUGGGCCCACGUGGCAAUUCUCUGAAGCGCUUGCAAGAAGAGACAUUGACAAAAAUGUCAAUAUUGGGAAAAGGAUCCAUGAGGGACAAAGCAAAGGAAGAAGAGUUGAGGAAAAGUGGAGAAGCAAAAUAUUUUCACCUAAAUGACGACCUGCAUGUGCUAAUUGAGGUAUUUGCUCCACCAGCAGAAGCAUAUGCCAGGAUGGGACAUGCACUGGAAGAAAUUAAGAAGUUCCUCAUCCCUGACUACAAUGAUGAAAUCCGACAGGCGCAGUUGCAAGAACUAACUUACUUGAAUGGUGGUUCUGAAAAUGCGGAAGUCCCAGUAAUCCGUGGAAAGCUACCUCUACGGGCACGGGGAGCACCAGCCCCUGCUUUGGCAAGAGCCCGUGGAGGUGUGCCACCUCCACCCGCAGGUGUUCCAAGAGGGGCACCUGCACCAAGAGGAAUACCACCGGGCCGAGGACCUGUCAGUCGUGGCAGAGGUCUUCUAACUCCAAGGACAAGAGGAGUUCCUCCAUCUGCAAGCUACCGGCCUCUUCCACCACCUCCAGCACAGGAUACCUAUGGAGACUAUGAAUAUGACGACGGAUAUGGCACUUCGUAUGAUGAGCAGAGUUAUGAUUCCUACGAUAACAGCUAUAGUACUUCAGCGCAAAGCGGGGCCGAUUACUACGAUUACGCCCAUGGGCUGAGUGAGGAGACAUACGAUUCUUACAGACAGGAAGACUGGACCAACUCAAGACACAAGGCACCUCCGGCGAGAACAGCAAAGGGAGCCUACAGAGAGCAGCCAUAUGCCAGAUACUGAUUAUACUGUCUGAUGUUGUGAAAUACCCAAUCUCCACCAGUCCUGUAUACUGUUCAAAAAUUUUGGUACCUUAAUGACAACCUCGCUCCGUGCUGGAAGCAAUAAACACAAAGCUUUUAAAGACUUUCUGACUUGACUAAUUGCGGUCGCUUUCGUCAGAGGCAGAGGAUGUGUAACCCUUAAAACGGUCUUCAUUUGCAAAGGAAACAUGGAAUGCCAUGGAAAGCCAAGAGGAUGCAAAACCUGUUUCUGUUGAUAUUUCGGGACUCGGCUCGCUCUCGUGGACAGAUUCAAAGUACAACCCUCACCGACGUGCCUCAGAAGCAUUUGCCAGCAGCUAUUUCAAACUCCAGUUUGAUUUCCUUUUUAUGCUACCUGCUGUAAUUCUGUAACUUGUGCAGCUUUUCAGACCUCAGUUUUAACUCUCGCAUGUUUAUUCAUUUAAGUCGUGUAACUUUGUGAAGGUGUUAAUAAAAGAGUUUUCCAUUUCUUUGUGCA